ACGACUAGGACAAUAUUUGUCGUUUACUAUGUUUUAGCAUUGAUAUAAAGAUUUUCUAGGAUAUAGAGAAUCCCGAAAAUGUGUCGUCAUUAUGCCCUACACUUAGCGACACAAUGCAGGAGACGCCGUGCAGUUUUCAAUGCAAUGUGCAUUGUCCUUAUUUUGAUUGUAGGAGGAAAGUGUCGAUUGGGUUAAGACUGAUCUGUACAAAAGUGGCUUUUCUGUUGGACACAUUUCAAAAUACAAUGGAGGAACAAUCCUGCACAUCAUUUGUGGAAACGGAAGAGUUAGAGGCAGAACAGGAGGAACAAUCAUGAACAUCAUUAGUUGAAAUGGAAGAGUUAGAGGCAGAACAGGUAGGGAACAUAAUUUACAUCUAAGGUUAUAUAUCACAUAUCACCAUUACAUCACAACAGACUGCUUGAAAUGAAA